CCCUCUCCCUCUCCCUCUCCCUCUCCCUCUCCCUCUCCCUCUCUCCACGGUCUCCUUCCACGGUCUCCCUCUGAUGCCGAGCCAAAGCUGGACGGUACUGCUGCCAUCUCGGCUCACUGCAACCUCCCUGCCUGAUUCUCCUGCCUCAGCCUGCCGAGUGCCUGCGAUUGCAGGCGCGCGCCGCCACGCCUGAGUGGUUUUCGUUUUUUUUUUGGUGGAGACGGGGUUUUGCUGUGUUGGCCGGGCUGGUCUCCAGCUCCUAACCGCGAGUGAUCCGCCAGCCUCGGCCUCCCGAGGUGCCGGGAUUGCAGACGGAGUCUCGUUCACUCAGUGCUCAAUGGUGCCCAGGCUGGAGUGCAAUGGCGUGAUCUCGGCUCGCUACAACCUCCACCUCCCAGCCGCCUGCCUUGGCCCCCCAAAGUGCCGAGAUUGCAGCCUCUGCCCAGCCGCCACCCCGUCUGGGAAGUGAGGAGCGUCUCUGCCUGCCCCCCCAUCGUCUGGGAUAUGAGGAGCCUCUCUGCCUGGCUGCCCAGUCUGGAAAGUGAGGAGCGUCUCUGCCCGGCCGCCAUCCCAUCUAGGAAGCGAGGAGCGCCUCUUCCCCGCCGCCAUCCCAUCUAGGAAGUGAGGAGCGUCUCUGCCCGGCCGCCCAUCGUCUGAGAUGUGGGGAGCACCUCUGCCCCGCCGCCCUGUCUGGGAUGUGAGGAGCGCCUCUGCUGGGCCGCAACCCUGUCUGGGAGGUGAGGAGCGUCUCUGCCCGGCUGCCCCGUCUGAGAAGUGAGGAAACCCUCUGCCUAGCAACCGCCCCGUCUGAGAAGUGAGGAGCCCCUCCGUCCGGCAGCCACCCCGUCUGGGAAGUGAGGAGCCCCUCCGCCUGGCAGCCACCCCGUCUGGAAAGUGAGGAGCGUCUCCGCCCGGCAGCCACCCCGUCCGGGAGGGAGGUGGGGGGGGUCAGCCCCCCGCCCGGCCAGCCGCCCCGUCCGGGAGGUGAGGGGCUCCUCUGCCCGGCCGCCCCUACUGGGAAGUGAGGAGCCCCUCUGCCCGGCCAGUCGCCCCGUCCAGGAGGGAGGUGGGGGGUCAGCCCCCCGCCCGGCCAGCCGCCCAGUCCGGGAGGUGAGGGGCGCCUCUGCCCGGCCGCCCCUACUGGGAAGUGAGGACCCCUCUGCCCGGCCAGCCGCCCCGUCCGGGAGGGAGGUGGGGGGGUCAGCCCCCCGCCCGGCCAGCCGCCCCGGCCGGGAGGGAGGUGGGGGGGGUCAGCCCCCCGCCCGGCCAGCCGCCCCGUCCGGGAGGGAGGUGGGGGGAUCAGCCCCCCGCCUGGCCAGCCGCCCUGUCCGGGAGGUGAGGGGCGCCUCUGCCCGGCCGCCCCUACUGGG
rnacentral:lncRNA from 10 species